GGCUCAUCCAGGAAAUUUUGUUGCCUUUGUAGUAAAAAGUAUCCAUUGGGACACUAGGGAAGGAACAAAGAGGUGGAGCAUAUGCGUAGAAGACAAUGUAGGGGUUAAAGGGAACCCUCUUCUCUGUGCAGUGAUGGAGUGAUGAAGUUUUGGAUUCAGUAUUUGACACUUACUAGCUUUGUAGUUUAAAAUUAAUCACUUUAUCUUUCUGAGUCUCAAUUUACUUACCUGUAAAACAGAAUAAAAAUCACCCUUCCAUGGGGUUUUAAAAAUUAGCUGAGUCAAUAAUUUAUAUGCUGAUGUCUCUCGCAUUAGGAUCUGAGGGCCAGACACCGCUUUUGAGUUUCAGGCUGUGUAUCCAACUUCUCAAGAGACAUUCACCUUGCCGUCCCAUAUAACUUCAUUUCACUGUAUAACAAAACCAUAAGCUUUCCUCCAUGUCUUUCUUUGCUCCUCUUGUUAUUAUAUGAGUGAAUUAUACUACCAUUCAUCAUUUUCACAGGCCAGAAAGCGUAAAGCCAUUCCUAAUCUCCUUCAUCUGAUAUAUAAAUAAUUUUCCAAGUUCUGUAAAUUUUGCCUUCAAAAUAAUAUCAAAUUAAUCAUGCUUUCUGUCUCCCUUCCUGCCACCACCACUGCAACUUAAACUACCUUUACCUCUUCCUCAGACUCUUAUAAUAGCAUUUUCACUGGCUUUCUGCAUGUGCUUUCCAACUACUAAAAUUUUUCUGCAUACUGAAGCUGCAAUAAUCUUUUGAAAAUUCAAAUUUGAUUAUAACCUGCUUAAAAUUUAUCAGUGGCUUGCAUUAUUCUAACAAUAUGGCCCAAAUUCAUAACCAUGUCCUCCUUUUCAACUAGUUAAUUCUACCUGUCAUAUUGAUGUCAUCUGAAGUAUCACUUCAUUGACCCCUGGAGUUAGGCAUAUCUCUAUAUAAAUGAGUUUUUCAGCAAGCAGUUAAGAUCUUUCUCUUCCAUGGUAAACUUUGUGAAGAUAGAGACUAUGUUGUUUACCAUUGUAUCCAUAGUAUCUAAGGCAAUGUGUUAUUCAAAGUACGUAUUCAAUAAAUGUGUAUGUAAAGAAUAAACAACUCAGUACAGACACAUAAAAAAAAACCUGGUGUGAUAGAAUACUUAUAGUGUUUUAAAAUAUAUAUCCAAAAGUGACCAGAGUAUUAAGAGGUGUGGCAUUUUUCUAGAAAACUUCACUUAUAUUAGUUAAGAGAAAUGACACUUCAUGAUAAAUAUCACUUGUACUCAAACUGAUUUAUUGAUUUCAGUCCAUACCAGAUACAAUGUGAUGCUUAGAAUGGAGAAGCUUGCAAGAUAAAUUCUGAUCUUGGGGGUUUGGGGAAGAAUAAAACCCAGGACAGAUUCAUACACAGAAAGAAAUGCUAUGUAACUAUGAGAAAGGCGUGAGUAAACAUCACUAUAAGUAUAAAAUGAUUUUUAUAUCUGAGAGUUUGACAAAUGGAGAAAGAGAGUCAGAAUUCAGGCAGAAACAAUAGCAUAUUUAAAAGCAUGAACCCAUGAAAGUCUAGCGUGUUUUGGAAAUGGAAACAGACACUAAAUCAUAAAAUCCUAAAUGGAAAAUCUUUGAAAAAUAGUUACCAAUAAGCUCCCUUUUUUAUGUACUGUGGUUUUCAUAGAAGAAAGAGAAGACAUGUCACUUGAGACUUACAGGAAACCCCUCCUCUUACCACACCUCCACCCUUUGCAAAUUUCUCUGUUCUUAGUGAUCUUAAGAUUUUCCAAAAACUGAUCUCCUUUGUCAGCUGUGUUAGCAUUUUGUGCAUUGGCUACAGUCUUCAGAUAAAGCAGAAAAGUUCAAUUAAACCCAUAUCUUUUCAAUUAAUCAUCCCUCAAAGGGCAGAACAAGGUUGAUGACCUAUAGCCUCUCCUGUUAGCCCCAAAUUGUGUAUAUAUUGUACCAUAUACUAGGUAAGUGGCCUGGGAAAAUCAAUUUAUACUCUUUAUGACUCUGUUUCCUCAUCUAUGAAAAAGCAAAAGAAAUAAUGAUACCUACUUCAUAGAGUAAUUAUGAAGAUUUAAGGAAGUAAUGCAUAGGGCACAUUGAGAAGAGUUCCUGGCUAAUAAAAAAUACUUAGUAUGUGUGAACUAUUAUAAACUGGGUCAACUUAUUUUCUUCGUGUCCUUUUCCACUGUUCAUACUACUCAAAUAGAAUAAUUCAGCAUUUCAUAAAUAUGCUGUACAUUUUCCACCUCUACUGUUCUUGCUAUUCUCUUUGCCUAGCAUAUCCCCUGCCCUUUUCUAUCUGCCACCUGCUUAUUCAUUCUCAAGGCCUUGUUUUCUCUUUUUAGGUUGAACCCUUCAAAAGUCAUGGCUUUCUCUUCAGCACUGCUGUGGGAUUUUCUUUAUGACUCUUUUACUGCACAUAACACAGCCUGAUGUUUUUUACUUCCUUGCACAAUUGUCUUACUUCCACACUGGAGCUUCUUCAGGAUGACAGGGGUGUUUCUGCAGUUGCAAGUAUGCAUAUGCUUCUACCAAAGUCUGAUGUGUAGAUUUUCUCUCUUGGAAGACGCUCUGCUUGACCUUCAUCUUGAAAUAAAUUGUUGCAUCCACUCCAAACUUCAGCAGCCAUCACCCUGAUCAGUCAGCAACCAUCAACCUGCUAGACCUACCAGAGGUCUGACCUACCAGAAAAAAGAUCACAACUUGCUGAAGGUUCAGAAUAUUCUUAGCAUUUUUCAGCAUAAAGUAUUUUUAACAUAAGUAUUUCUAAGAGGAUAUCAGAGGACUCACAUGGAGUGGAGUGAAGUGAAGG
rnacentral:lncRNA from 1 species